rnacentral:rRNA from 1 species
UACAGAGGGGGCAAGCGUUGUUCGGAAUUACUGGGCGUAAAGGGCGCGUAGGCGGCCUUCUAAGUCGAACGUGAAAUCCCCGGGCUCAACCCGGGAACUGCGUCCGAUACUGGAAGGCUUGAAUCCGGGAGAGGGAUGCGGAAUUCCAGGUGUAGCGGUGAAAUGCGUAGAUAUCAGGAGGAACACCGGUGGCGAAGGCGCUCAUCUGGCCCAAUACUGACGCUGAGGCGCGAAAGCUAGGGGAGCAAACGGG